CUGGCUCAGGAUGAACGCUAGCGGCAGGCUAACACAUGCAAGUCGAGGGGCAACGCGAGUAGCAAUACUUGGCGGCGACCGGCGCAAGGGUGCGUAACGCGUGAGCAACAUGCCCGUAUCAGGGGGGUAAUCCAGGGAAACUUGGUCUAAUACCCCAUAGUAAUUUUGUAAGGCAUCUUAUAAGAUUUAAAGCUUUGGUGGAUACGGAUUGGCUCGCGUGACAUUAGCUGGAUGGUAAGGUAACGGCUUACCAUGGCUAUGAUGUCUAGGGGUUCUGAGAGGAAGGUCCCCCACACUGGAACUGAGACACGGUCCAGACUCCUACGGGAGGCAGCAGUGAGGAAUAUUGGACAAUGGAUGGAAAUCUGAUCCAGCCAUGCCGCGUGAAGGAAGAAGGUCCUAUGGAUUGUAAACUUCUUUUGUAUGGGAGCAAUAAGGCCUACGAGUAGGUUGAUGAGAGUACCAUACGAAUAAGCACCGGCUAACUCCGUGCCAGCCGCAGC
rnacentral:rRNA from 1 species